rnacentral:rRNA from 1 species
AAAUUGAAGAGUUUGAUCAUGGCUCAGAUUGAACGCUGGCGGCAGGCCUAACACAUGCAAGUCGAACGGUAACAGGAAGCAGCUUGCUGCUUUGCUGACGAGUGGCGGACGGGUGAGUAAUGUCUGGGAAACUGCCUGAUGGAGGGGGAUAACUACUGGAAACGGUGGCUAAUACCGCAUAACGUCGCAAGACCAAAGAGGGGGACCUUCGGGCCUCUUGCCAUCAGAUGUGCCCAGAUGGGAUUAGCUAGUUGGUGAGGUAACGGCUCACCAAGGCGACGAUCCCUAGCUGGUCUGAGAGGAUGACCAGCCACACUGGAACUGAGACACGGUCCAGACUCCUACGGGAGGCAGCAGUGGGGAAUAUUGCACAAUGGGCGCAAGCCUGAUGCAGCCAUGCCGCGUGUAUGAAGAAGGCCUUCGGGUUGUAAAGUACUUUCAGCGGGGAGGAAGGUGUUGUGGUUAAUAACCGCAGCAAUUGACGUUACCCGCAGAAGAAGCACCGGCUAACUCCGUGCCAGCAGCCGCGGUAAUACGGAGGGUGCAAGCGUUAAUCGGAAUUACUGGGCGUAAAGCGCACGCAGGCGGUCUGUCAAGUCGGAUGUGAAAUCCCCGGGCUCAACCUGGGAACUGCAUUCGAAACUGGCAGGCUUGAGUCUUGUAGAGGGGGGUAGAAUUCCAGGUGUAGCGGUGAAAUGCGUAGAGAUCUGGAGGAAUACCGGUGGCGAAGGCGGCCCCCUGGACAAAGACUGACGCUCAGGUGCGAAAGCGUGGGGAGCAAACAGGAUUAGAUACCCUGGUAGUCCACGCCGUAAACGAUGUCUACUUGGAGGUUGUGCCCUUGAGGCGUGGCUUCCGGAGCUAACGCGUUAAGUAGACCGCCUGGGGAGUACGGCCGCAAGGUUAAAACUCAAAUGAAUUGACGGGGGCCCGCACAAGCGGUGGAGCAUGUGGUUUAAUUCGAUGCAACGCGAAGAACCUUACCUGGUCUUGACAUCCACGGAAGUUUUCAGAGAUGAGAAUGUGCCUUCGGGAACCGUGAGACAGGUGCU